GUCUCUUUAAAUCUACUGAGGAAGAUAUUCCUUCUGGCCCACAGGAUGCCAAAAUGACUUGAUGAUUUAUUUAUGCAGCGCUUGGCAGCCCAUAGUCCAGAUUGUGGCUGGAGCUGAAUUUUAUGAGCCUUCCCCUAGAAGUAACGAGAGCCCAGGGGAGUGUAGUGAAAAAGACAAACACUGCCCCUUCUUUCCUGGAACAGACAUCUCAGAAGAGGGAGAUGGAUGAGAAACAGGUCCUCAGUGCCAGGUAGCAGAUUGUGCCCUGGAAGGCUUCCUGUGUCUCGAGCCAAAGACUGGUAAUCUUCUCACUGGGCAAUGCCGAG